GAAAUACUCCCUCCGUCCCAAAAUUCUUGUCUUAGAUUUGUCUAGAUACGGAUGUAUCUAAUACUAAAACAUGACUUGAUACAUCCGUAUUUAGACAAAUCUAAGACAAGAAUUUUGGGACGGAGGGAGUACUAU
rnacentral:pre_miRNA from 1 species